rnacentral:rRNA from 1 species
GACGAACCGUGCGAACGUUAUUCGGAAUCACUGGCUUAAAGCGCGUGUAGGCGGAUGGGAACGUCGGUAGUUGAAAGCCCCCGGCUCAACCGGGGAAGUGGUGCCGAAACGACCCGUCUGGAGGGACGUAGGGGGACCUGGAACUUCCGGUGGAGCGGUGAAAUGCGUUGAGAUCGGAAGGAACGCCCGUGGCGAAAGCGAGGUCCUGGAC